AGAGAGAGAGAGAGAGAGAGAGAGAGAGAGAGAGAGAGAGAAAUAUUGUUAUCUUAAACUUGUUAUUGUUUUUCCUGGACGCUGAUCAAUUAAAUAAAUUUUUAAAGAAUCGUCCAUAACUCACUUCGGCUCCGAUUAAAAGAUUAAAUAUUUUAUGGAAAGGAGAAGUUUAAUUAAAAAGAGAAAGCAAAUAGUGCGUAAUUUUACGACCGUAUGUAUUACUUAUGAUGCAGUUGCAUUAAAUAAAAAGAAAAAAAAAAAAAAAAAGAAGAAAAUAAUAAAACCGAAACAGCUAUCUUAUAUUAAAAGUCGACCAAUAUUUUUUUUCGAAGAAAAAAUAAAUAAUAUACCGUAGAGAUAUAAUGUGAAAUAUAAUAUUCCGUAGGGUCAAUCAUAAAUUUGUAUUGUUUGUUUAAUCCAUUGUUUUUUUCCAAUUAUUUAUAAUUUAAUAUUUAUUUUUCAGCUUAAGAAUCACCAUAAACAUACGCGAAUUGACUUAUACAUGAAUCCUGUACGUUUUCCUGCUUCUUCAUUGAUGUUCAUAAUCCAUUUCAUCAUCCUGUUGUUGAUCCUGCUAAAUCCUUCGUAAGAUGAAAUCUGUAUCUACAUUUUGUAGCAGAAAUUAAGAGAUGACGAAUGUACUCGUCAGACAAAUAACAGAUUAAAGUAGCUGAGUAUGAUCAGACAAAGAAGAGAUAUCGGUAAAACGUCGGUAAAACAAAUACCUACUAGUAUUGAUUGCAGUUAAACAAGAAUAUGCCAUUAAUGACAAUUAGCUGACUCGAUAUCGACAGAAAAUAUUUUUCAAGCUUGCUUUGGAUGAGGCGUUGUAGUCGAUGGUUCUGAUCGGAAACACGAAAGCAGGAAACCAGUGUACAUCGCAAAGACCACUGUAGUCGC